rnacentral:rRNA from 1 species
UACGUGGGGUGCAAGCGUUAAUCGGAAUUACUGGGCGUAAAGCGUGCGCAGGCGGUGAUGUAAGACAGGUGUGAAAUCCCCAGGCUUAACCUGGGAACUGCAUCCGAUACUGGAUGGCUUGAAUCCGGGAGAGGGAUGCGGAAUUCCAGGUGUAGCGGUGAAAUGCGUAGAUAUCUGGAGGAACACCGGUGGCGAAGGCGGCAUCCUGGACCGGCAUUGACGCUGAGGAGCGAAAGCCAGGGGAGCAAACGGG